UACAGAGGUCCCAAGCGUUGUUCGGAUUCAUUGGGCGUAAAGGGUGCGUAGGCGGCGCGGUAAGUCGGGUGUGAAAUCUCGGGGCUUAACUCCGAAACUGCAUUCGAUACUGCCGUGCUUGAGGACUGGAGAGGAGACUGGAAUUUACGGUGUAGCGGUGAAAUGCGUAGAUAUCGUAAGGAAGACCAGUGGCGAAGGCGGGUCUCUGGGCAGUAACUGACGCUGAGGAGCGAAAGCGUGGGGAGCGAACAGG
rnacentral:rRNA from 1 species